AACGAACGCUGGCGGCAUGCCUAACACAUGCAAGUCGAACGAGACCUUCGGGCUUAGUGGCGCACGGGUGCGUAACGCGGGGGAACCUGCCCUUAGGUUCGGAAUAACGCCCCGGAUGGGGUGCGAAUACCGGCUCUUGUCUUCGGUCCAAAGAUUUAUAGCCUUUGGAUGGGCCGGCGUUGGAUUGGCUAGUUGUUAGGGUAAAAGGCUACCAAGGCGACGAUGCAUAGCUGGUCUGAGAGGAUGAUCAGCCACACUGGGACUGAGACACGGCCCAGACUCUUACGCGAGGGAGCAGUGGGGAAUAUUGGACAAUGGGCUAAAUCCUGAUCCAGCAAUGCCGCGUGAGUGAUGAAGGCCUGAGGGUUGUAAAGCUAUUUUACCCGGGAUGAUAAUGACAUUACCGGGAGAAUAAGCUCCGGCUAACUCCGUG
rnacentral:rRNA from 1 species